rnacentral:rRNA from 1 species
GAUGAACGCUGGCGGCGUGCCUAAUACAUGCAAGUCGAGCGAACAGACGAGGAGCUUGCUCCUCUGACGUUAGCGGCGGACGGGUGAGUAACGCGUGGAUAACCUACCUAUAAGACUGGGAUAACUUCGGGAAACCGGAGCUAAUACCGGAUAAUAUAUUGAACCGCAUGGUUCAAUAGUGAAAGACGGUUGUGCUGUCACUUAUAGAUGGAUCCGCGCAGCAUUAGCUAGUUGGUAAGGUAACGGCUUACCAAGGCAACGAUGCGUAGCCGACCUGAGAGGGUGAUCGGCCACACUGGAACUGGGACACGGUCCAGACUCCUACGGGAGGCAGCAGUAGGGAAUCUUCCGCAAUGGGCGAAAGCCUGACGGAGCAACGCCGCGUGAGUGAUGAAGGUCUUCGGAUCGUAAAACUCUGUUAUUAGGGAAGAACAAAUGUGUAAGUAACUAUGCACGUCUUGACGGUACCUAAUCAGAAAGCCCCGGCUAACUACGUG